GACCCAGUGGCGGACGGUUCGCAUCCGCACCGUGUUAAUAUCAGCACUUCUACUGCAACAGCGGGAGGGCCUGGUUCGACUCCAGGCUGGGUCA